GAUGAACGCUGGCUGCGUUCCUAAUAUAUGCAAGUCUAGCGAACGUACUAGAAGCUUGCUUCUCUGAUUUUAGCGGCGGACGGGCGAGUAACACGUGGAUAACCUACCUAUAAUACUGGGCUUACUUCGCGAACCUUUAGCUAAUACCGUUUAAUAUUUUUCACCGCAUGGUUCAAAUGUGAAAGACGCUCUUGCUGUCACUUAUAGAUGGAUCCGCGCUGCAUUAGCUAGUUGGUAAGUUAACGGCUUACCAAGUCAACGAUGCCUAGCCGUCCUGUGAGAGUGAACGCCCAUACUAGAAGUGAGAGACGUUCCCUAUUCAAACGGGAGGCAGCAGUAGCGAAUCUUCCGCAGUGGGAAGAAGAAUGACGGAGCAACGCCGCAUGAGUGAUGAACGUCUACGGAUCAUAAAACUAUGUUAUUAGGGAAGAACACAUGUGUAAGUAAAUGAGAACAUCUUAGCGGUACCGAACAAGAAAGCCAAGGCUAAAUACGUG
rnacentral:rRNA from 1 species